rnacentral:misc_RNA from 1 species
AUGAAGAACGUAGCGAAAUGCGAUAAGUAGUGUGAAUUGCAGAAUUCAGUGAAUCAUCGAAUCUUUGAACGCACAUUGCGCCCCUUGGUAUUCCAUGGGGCAUGCCUGUUCGAGCGUCAUUUGUACCCUCAAGCUUUGCUUGGUGUUGGGCGUCUUGUCGUAUUACGACUCGCCUUAAAUACAUUGGCAGCCGGCACUUUGGCCUAGGAGCGCAGCACAUUUUGCGAUCGUAGCCCGUUGUACUGGCGUCCAUCAAGAACAUUUACCACGUUUGACCUCGGAUCAGGUAGGGAUACCCGCUGAACUUAAGCAUAUCAAUAAGCGGAGGA